AAUGAAGAUGACAGGGAUUCUUGCCCUUUCCCUGGUAGCAGCUGACAAUGGAACCAACAGCAAUAAACCAUGUACACUCUAUCAAAGACACUGAAGAGGAAUGAAGAUGACAGGACUCCUUGCCCUAUCCCUGGUAGCAGCUAACAAUGGAACCAACAGCAACAAACCUGUACGCUCCACGAAAGAUGAGGUUUUAAUGAAAUAUGCUCUGGAUGUUGUGGCACUAUCUCCAUCACUGGUGAAAUGGCUAAAGCCUAAAGGACAGUCCUCACUUAGUUACCAGCAACUUUCCAAUACUCUUUGCAGUCCACCUCUUCAUCUCUAAUGAUGGUCUCUGGUGGAGGAAAGGUUGCAGUGUAGUCUUCAUGUCCUGGCUUAUAGGAUAUCCUUAGAAUUUCCACUGCUUUGCAUGGACCAAUGGACUGCAGAGUUACACAUAGCAGUAAAGUUCUGGGCUCAUUUGUUGGUUUUUUGGAAUGUACAUGAAAAUUUGCUGGGAGACAUUUCUACUCUCUUUGGAUGUGGCCAAUCUUCAGAUUUUCAACUUUCCAUUUCAGUGGUGAUUUUAAGUUUGACAUUGCUGUGAUCUGAUUGGUUAAACAUUCAGUUGAUGAAUGUGACAUUUCAGGGGUGAUUUUAAGCUUGACAGUGCUGUGAUCUGAUUGGAUAAACAUUCAAGUGAUGGAUGUGAGUCAUUUCAGAGGUGAUUUUAAGCUUGACAUUGCUGUGAUCUGAUUGGUUAAACAUUCAGUUGAUGAAUGUGACAUUUCAGGGGUGAUUUUAAGCUUGACAGUGCUGUGAUCUGAUUGGAUAAACAUUCAAGUGAUGGAUGUGACAUUUCAGUGGUGAUUCUUCGCUGGACAGUGCUGUGAUCUGAUUGGAUAAGCAUUCAAGUGAUGGAUAUGAAAUUUCUGUAGUGAUUCUAGUAGGACAAUGCUUUGAUCUGAUUGGUUAAACAUUUACGAGAUGCAUGUGACAUUUUAGUGGUGAUUCUUAGCUGGACAAUGCUUUGAUCUGAUUGGAUAAACAUUCACGAGAUGCAUGUGACAUUUCAGUGGUGAUUCCUAGCUGGACAGUACUUCACCUGUUUUGAUGAACAUUCAAGUGAUGGGUGUGACAUUUCAGUGGUGAUUCUUAGCUGGACAUAAUGCUUUGACCUGAUGGAUAAAGAUUGAUGUGACAGAUUUACAUUGGUGAUUCUAGUCAGACAUUCCUUUGUGAUUUGUCUAGUCAGGAUACAGGGUGAUUAUGGACUAGAAGUUUGAACUGAUAAUUGCAGCUACAGUACUUAGGAAACCUUCAAAGAGACAAAAUUGAUUUUCAGGUGUGCAUGAUGCAACUUCCUAGAUGGUGUGUAGUCCAUUUAUCAACAUGUUUCAAACCCACAUCUAUUUUGGGGAAGGAGUAUAGUACCCCCUGUUAAAGAUCAUGAAUGGCAAACAGACAAUGUCAAAUGCAGUCUGGUCAUCAACAGAGAAUUUUGACACCCGACAUCACCCGUAGACCUGUAUUUCAACUAAUUACCUCUCUAACCUUUGUUGUGUUCAUCAGACAGGUAAAAAAAACAAGAUGAUGGACCAUUCUCCUUUGAUCCUUUUACAACAGGUGCCCCUGCAGUUUACAUUGUAUAUUUCCAAUAUUGAGGUUCCAGGACCCCUAAUUUAAUAUCCAGUGAGUCCACCACAGAUUAAAGAUUAAGCUGACAUUAUCCAAAUUGUCCUUGGUAGCUGCAGCUUACAGUAGAACCAACAGCAGUAGACAUAUAGCAUGCUUCAUCAAAGGUCUGUUUCAUUUUGGUUGAUGAUGCUGCUUUAACAUUAGCAUUAAGAUUAGUCAUGCCUACGCUCUACUUGUGGUACCUAAGUGACCAACAGCCAUGGUCACAUUUAGCCGUGCAACUCUUCAACCCCUUACAGAUCUUCUCACCUCUUUGUAAAGUUUUUCUUGGUGACUGGUAUAGUGGUACUUCUUACAGCUGAUGGAAAGGAUCCAUGCCAGGCCUCUUUUUUCCUCUCCAUGCCGAUACCAGUCCAGUGGACCAUCACAGUCUGGAAAC